UUUGAGAAUAAUUUUUUUUUUUUUUAGUAAAAUAGCUUCUAACUCGGAAACAAAUCCCGAUAAUUGAUAAUCACGACACCCAACACAACCCUGACGACAGAUUCAGAAUCCGACCCUGAGAUCUGACCUAGGACUUGACCCCGACUUCCAAUCCGAGACACGACAUUCGAACUGAGACCCAAUCCCGACCCCACACUUGAUCUAUGAACACGACCUCGACAACAGAUGCGGGAUCUGAUCCCGACAUUCGACCUCGGACCUGACC
rnacentral:lncRNA from 1 species